CGUUUAAGUGGCGGACGGGUGAGUAACGCGUGGAGUAACCUGCCGUAUACAGGGGGAGUAACACUUAGAAAUAGGUGCUAAUACCGCAUAAGCGCACGGUUCCGCAUGGAACAGUGUGAAAAACUCCGGUGGUAUACGAUGGAUCCGCGUCUGAUUAGCCAGUUGGCGGGGUAACGGCCCACCAAAGCGACGAUCAGUAGCCGGCCUGAGAGGGUGAACGGCCACAUUGGGACUGAGACACGGCCCAAACUCCUACGGGAGGCAGCAG
rnacentral:rRNA from 1 species